GAUGAACGCUGGCGGUAUGCUUAACACAUGCAAGUCGAACGGACUCUUCGGAGUUAGUGGCGGACGGGUGAGUAACGCGUGAGAAUCUGGCUUUGGGUUCGGGACAACCACUGGAAACGGUGGCUAAUACCGGAUGUGCCGAGAGGUAAAAGAGAAAUUGCCUGAAGAUGAGCUCGCGUCUGAUUAGCUAGUUGGUGAGGUAAAGGCUCACCAAGGCAGCGAUCAGUAGCUGGUCCGAGAGGAUGACCAGCCACACUGGGACUGAGACACGGCCCAGACUCCUACGGGAGGCAGCAGUGGGGAAUUUUCCGCAAUGGGCGAAAGCCUGACGGAGCAAUACCGCGUGAGGGAAGAAGGCUCUUGGGUUGUAAACCUCUUUUCUUAGGGAAGAACAAAAUGACGGUACCUAAGGAAUCAGCAUCGGCUAACUCCGUG
rnacentral:rRNA from 1 species